rnacentral:rRNA from 1 species
GUGUCAGCCGCCGCGGUAAUACGUAGGGGUCGAGCGUUGUCCGGAGUUACUGGGCGUAAAGCGUGCGCAGGCGGCUCAUCGCGCUCGGCGUGAAAGCCCCCGGCUCAACCGGGGAGGGUCGUCGAGGACGGGUGAGCUUGAGGGUAUCAGGGGUUGGUGGAAUUCCCGGUGUAGUGGUGAAAUGCGUAGAGAUCGGGAGGAACACCCGUGGCGAAGGCGGCCAACUGGGAUACACCUGACGCUGAGGCACGAAGGCGUGGGGAGCGAACGGGAUUAGAUACCCCGGUAGUCC